GAAAUUGGCCACCUCAUGCGUCCUUGGAGUGGCGCAUCACGGAUUCAAAUGCGCGGGAUGCGUCUGGAAGUCCACGGGAUGCGUCUUUGGAAAUAAUUCACUGACGAUGCGUCUGAAAGUGCACGGGAUGCGUCUUAAAGUGCCGGGAUGCGUCUUGAAGUGCCGGGAUGCGUCCGGCGAGUUUUCCGGCGACUUGCAGGUUUCCGGCGGAAUUUUCCCUUGGAAGAUUCUCGUCCCACAUCACAAGAGAUCUCACUCGCUUAGGCCUUUUAUUGAAAGUUUAUAUUUUUUUUUUCUUCAACAAAUUAAGCAUCAGUGGGAAAGAGUAGAAGAAGCAAGCACCAGUCGCUAGUAAGUUUAUAAAUCAACUUGUAGUAGAUCAUCUACAACUUGUAGUAAAUCAACUUGUGUUGGACAAGUUACUCUCCCCUCUAAACAGUCAUAAAAAAAAAAUUGGAUACAUUUGGUUUUUGCAUCUCGUCGGAAACCUGCAAAUCGUCGGAAAAGUCGCCGGAAACCUGCAACUCGCCGGAAACCUCGACAGACGCUUCAGAAACUUGCUCGACGCAUCCCGUGCAUGAUGCCUCGCUCCAAGGAUGCAUCCCGUGGCCACGUGUCUAUUUUUUAUUGGAUUUCGCUCCAAAGACGCAUCCCAUGGUUGAAAGACGCAUCCCGCGCAUUUGAAUCCGUGAUGCGCCGCUCCAAGGACGCAUGAGGUGGCCAAUUUCGUAAAACUCUGGUCUUGGCCAAUUUCGUAAUUUCCUCAAAUAUCAUUUGUUUAUUUUCUUCAUCUCUAUGCUAUGUAUUCAUACAAUAAUCCACUUGUUUUCCAUGAUCAUCAAACCUCACCAUGAAUCCUCACACCAUUUGUGUAAAUUAGCUUCCUUUUGUGCUCUCUCACCACAUGAAAACUUAUCCUAUGCUAAAACAAUAUUUAAUCAACACCAAAACCCAACUUUACAACUCUGUAACUCACUCAUUAGAGGGUUUUCAACAUCCCUUGUUCCCCAAGAAACCUUACUCUUGUUUCGUAAAAUGAUAGUAUGUAACAAUGCAAAACCUAAUAAUAUGACUUUUCCAUUUGUUAUUAAGGCUUGCACGGUGUUAUUUAGGGUUAAAUUUGGGAUUUUGGUUCACAAUUAUGUUUUGAAAUAUGGGUUGGAGUGUGAUCUUUAUGUGCGAAGCUCGUUGGUUAAGUUUUACGCGAACGCGAAGUGUUUGCGUUCUGCGAAACUGUUGUUUGACGGGUAUCCGGAGAAAGAUGUUGUUUGUUGGAACUCGAUGAUUGAUGCGUAUGUGAAAGCAGGUGAGAUGGAGCUUACACCCUUGAAGCUUUAGACGUAUUCAAUUCCAUGCAAACCAAAGACAUUCUCGCUUGGAAUACGAUGCUAAUAGGCAUGGGAAUGCAGGGGCAUGCUAAUGAUGCUCAACAACUAUUCAAACAAAUGCAGCUUGAAGGAAUCGUACCCAAUGACGUAACUUUUGUUGCUAUGUUUGGUGCUUUUCGUCAUGCAGGAAUGACAGAAGAGGGCCGGAAACUAUAUAUUGCCGUCAAUGAAAAGUGUUUAUGUCGUUGAACCCAAAAUCGAGCAUUAUAGUUGUGUUAUUGACCUGCUCUCUCGAGCUAGAAGAUUAGAAGAGGCCUUGAAUCUCAUAAAGAAUAUGCCUAUUGAGCCCAGUGAGUAUGCAUAUGGUGCUUUGCUUGGAGGUUGCAAGAUUUAUGGUGAUGCCAAGGUGGCACAGUCGGUGGGAAAACAUCUUCUUGAUUUAGAUCCGCAACAUAGUGGCCGCUACAUAGUUCUUUCAAACAUAUGUGCCGGAAGCUUAUGCAAGGCAAUGGUGUAGCCAAAAUGACAGGAGUAAGUGUGAUAGAGUUGAAGGAAGAUAUUGCGGCUGGGGAUCGGUCAAACAUCAAAUAGUCAAAUCAAAUCUUAUAUUGAUAUGAGAUUUGAAGAACAUAAUUGGAUGUUAACCAGAUACAUAUGAAUCUUUGUUGGAUAUAGAAGAGACUAGAGAGAGAAUUAUAUAUGCAAUAGGCAAGCAUAGUUGAUGGAUCUCAUGAAGCAAUGGUUAAAUCUCUGCACAUUACGACAGCAAGACCUUGGUCUGUGCAGUGGCACCCAUCGGAUAGAACUUGAACUCGAAACCGAACUGAUGUGAAGUGGUUUGGCAAUGAGGAGAUGGAAGCUGUGAGAGGGAAAGAGCGAGUGCAUAGCGUCAAUGUGACCUCAACCAUAAGAGCAUCCAUUGGAGAUGCUAUCAAGGUCUUAGGAUAUAGAGGGGAUUGGAGAGAACUUAAGCCAUUAAGUGCAAGUGCAAUGCAAAAUUGCAAAGUACUAAUAUUUUUGAGGUGGUUGCCAUUGCUGUAGAAACGGAUAAUCAUCUUUUGAGAAACAAUUUAUUUCAUUUUAAGGGUUAAUUUCUAA